CAAUAGCGUAUAUUUAAGUUGCUGCAGUUAAAAAGCUCGUAGUUGGAUUUCGGGUGGGAAUGGCCGGUCCGCCGUUUCGGUGUGCACUUGCUACGCCCACCUUGCUGCCGGGGACGUGCUCUUGAGUUCACGCUCGGGACACGGAGUCGGCGAGGAUACUUUGAGUAAAUUAGAGUGUUCAAAGCAGGCCUACGCUCUGAAUACAUUAGCAUGGAAUAACACGAUAGGACUCUGGCCUAUCUUGUUGGUCUGUAGGACCGGAGUAAUGAUUAAGAGGGACAGUCGGGGGCAUUCGUAUUUCAUUGUCAGAGGUGAAAUUCUUGGAUUUAUGAAAGACGAACUACUGCGAAAGCAUUUGCCAAGGAUGUUUUCAUUAA
rnacentral:rRNA from 1 species